rnacentral:sRNA from 1 species
UAAUAUCAUCUUCUUUUUUCUCUGCUCUGCAUUUUUGGCAAAUUGGCUGCAGUGCAGGCAGUUAUUAAGAAGACCUUUGCUAUUCAUAGUUACAAGUGAGGAUUGAAAAGACAGACAUGAGGCUCAUAGUUAAAAUUAAAUGAAACUAGUAAACUUUGAUUUAGUGGAAAUACCAGAAAGAGAAGAUAAUGAAGAAUUUUUUGGAACAUUGUUGAAGGCAACAGAAAGUAUUAGAAGUGUUGGUGGAAGAAAUUUAAGAAGUUUGUGGCAUUAAUUGUGUUUGACUUUGGGCACUGUGAACGUGUAUUUUUGUGCAAUAUUCAGUAAAAAAGUUUUUGUGACACAAAAUCUCGACAGCAAUCUGCGAAUUCCAUUACCAUACACAACAAGGCCCUUUUGCUUCACUUGAAUACGGCAGGAGAAAAGGCCGACAGUUGGUGUGAUUGGAGUGUCAAAUCCCGCCAGUGAUUAUUAAACCGUUGACAAGUGCUGCCCUCCACAGAGGUCUAUUGUACAGGAGUGGUGUAAGGGGUGUUCGUUUCUUUUGGUUAACGGUCACGAAGAGGAAUCCAAUCGCUGACGGAAGACAAAGAUCUUGUUUUUUGGUUGUCAAAUGCUUUGGUGCCGAGGUAGGUGGUUUGUGUUUUUGUCCAUUGCUCAGCAUACUUACAUACUUACCCUUUGAUGUUUAUGUCAACGCCUCUCACUCAACCCUCUCGCUCCAUAUAUACGUCAGUGUCUUAAGCAAUUACAACGGUGUUACCAGACGGUUUCUAGAAAACCUGGAAAUUUUUAUUUGUCGAGAGAAUACACGGGACAAAUUAAAAACAAUAUUUUGGAGAUAUUUUGUUGAAAAUGAAUACCCAAAUGUAUUUAACCACAUAGAA